rnacentral:rRNA from 1 species
GACGAACGCUGGCGGCGUGCCUAAUACAUGCAAGUCGAACGCAGUGGGGACGGGUGAGUAACACGUGGGUAACCUCCCAUCAGAGGGGAUAACACUUGGAAACAGGUGCUAAACCGAUACUGAUGGAUGGACCCGCGGUGCAUUAGCUAGUUGGUGAGGUAACGGCCCACCAAGGCAAAGAUGCAUAGGGGACCUGAGGGGGUGCACGGCCACACGGGGCAUGACACACGGCACAGACGCCUGCGGGAGGAAGCAGUAGGGAAUCUUACGAAAGGGACGAAAGUCUGACCGAGCAACGCCGCGUGAGUGAAGAAGCUUUGCGGAUCGUAAAACUCUGUUGUUAGAGAAGCGGUAUCUAACCAGAACGCCACGGCUAACUACGUGCCAGCAGCCGCUAAUAC